rnacentral:lncRNA from 1 species
AGAAAGGCAGUCAACACGGCUGCGAUCAUUAUACCUUGAAGCUGUUCUGAGGCAAGACAUUGCAUUCUUUGACGUGGAGAUGACAACUGCAGAAGCAGCUUCAAGAAUGUCUGCGGACACUGUACUUAUCCAAGACGCCCUCGGUGAGAAGGUAACAAUUCAUUAUUGCUUUGGCAAAAGAAACAAAAAUAUAUGUCUAACAAAUUUCCAGUAAAGGGUCUUUCAUUUCUAGAACAUAAGGAAAAAGGCCUUAUGUACAACACUAAAAAACUGACUUUUCAUGUUAAGGUAGGGAAGUACAUACAGCUUUUGACGACUUUCAUCGGUGGCUUUAUCAUUGGAUUCAUUAGAGGCUGGAUGCUGGCCCUUGUUGUGCUUGCGUGCAUACCUCCAAGCAUUUUAUCCUUUGCAACAGUCUCCCGACUGCGAGCUCAAAUAUCUCAAAAGAGGCAAGAAUCAUAUGAAGAUGCAGGGAAUAUUGUCGAGCAAACCAUUGGAGCAAUAAGAACAGUGGGUGAUUCUAAUAUUUUUAAAUACAAAUUAAUGCUGAUAAUAGGUGUUUGCAACUAUUCAAUAUCAAUAACAUCUCAAAAAACAGGUUGUAUCUUUCAAUGGUGAGAAGAAAGCAAUUGCAAUGUACAAUAAUCACAUAAAAAAGGCAUACAAGGCUACUCUCAUGGAAGGGAUUGUCACUGGUCUUGGAGUAGGUUGCAUAUUUUUUGUUGUCUUCUGCAAUUACUCUCUAGCUUUCUGGUAUGGCGCCAAGCUAAUCAUCGGCAAAGGAUAUACUGGAGGGCAGGUCCUCAAUAUCGUAUUUGCAAUUUUAACUGGCUCAGUGUGAGUUUUCUAACUGUGAACUACAUAUGUAAUAAAUGAUAGUAAAAAAGGUACUGUUAGACUCUUUGAUUGAAAUUGAAUUGAUAUUUGAAAAAUUAACAUAACCAUUUUUAGAUUUUGACAUUGAGGUUUGAUUAUUUGGGAACAGGGCUAUAGGUAAUGCAUCACCAUCUAUUUCUGCAAUUGCAGAAGGGCAGUCUGCAGCACAAAGAUUGUUUGAAAUUAUCAACAGAAAACCAGAUAUUGACAUUACCGACACUUCUGGAAUAGUAUUAGAAGAUAUUGAGGGAGAUGUUGAGCUCAAGGAUGUGUUCUUUAGGUACCCUGCAAGGCCUGAGCAUUUGAUACUUGAUGGCCUGUGCCUGCACGUACCUAAUGGCACCACAAUGGCUAUAGUCGGGGAGAGCGGAAGUGGUAAAUCAACAAUAAUUAGUCUGGUGGAGAGAUUUUAUGAUCCACAGGCUGGUGAAGUGUUGGUAGAUGGUGUGAACAUCAAAAGCCUGCAGCUCCAAUGGUUAAGAGGAAAGAUAAGUCUUGUCAGCCAAGAACCAUUGCUUUUUAUGACCUCCAUCAAGGAUAACAUAACCUAUGGUAAAGCGGAUGCUACAAUCGAAGAGAUCAAGAGAGCAGCUGAGCUUGCAAAUGCAGCAACCUUCAUUGAAAAGCUGCCUGAUGUACUUUGAGAAACACUACUUAUUUAUGUAUCUUACUCAAGUUACUGGCAAUUAACAUCUUGUCUUCCACCUCAUACAGGCAUACGAGACAAUGGUUGGUCAACGUGGUUCUCAGCUUUCUGGGGGGCAAAAGCAAAGGAUUGCCAUCGCAAGAGCAAUCCUCAAAAAUCCAAAAAUCCUUCUUUUGGACGAAGCUACAAGUGCUUUAGAUGUAGAGUCUGAAAGGGUAGUUCAAGAAGCACUAAAUAGGAUCAUGGUAGGGAGAACUACACUCAUUGUUGCCCACCGCCUGAGCACCAUCAGGAGUGCAGACUGCAUAGCAGUAGUUCAUCAAGGGAAAGUAGUUGAACGAGGUAAGUGACUCUUCGACACCAAUUACUUUGUUUUUUUUUAAUCUUUAGAAGCAAUCAAUCAGUGUGAAAAAGUAGAGGCAGUUCAAUUCAGUUUUUUGGAAAUCGUUAACCAAUUGACAUGUCAUACAGGUGUCCAUGACAAGCUGAUUAAGGAUCCUGAUGGAGCUUAUCCUCAGCUUAUUAGGUUACAACAGGCACAUGCUAAAGAAAGGCAUGAGGUUCCAAAUACUGAUAUGUCAGGUUCAAUAUAUAAAAGUAGAAGUUUAUCUUUGGAGCAAUCAAUAGACAGAGAUUCUCCCAGGAACAAAGGACAUCACUGCUCCACAAAAUCCACUGGGCUGUCUGAAGAAUUGAACAAACAAGUUUUUAUAGACAGACAGGAACACCAGGAAUCUAGUGAUAGUAAGGCUCCUAAGAAAGCACCAAUUGGACGACUAUUCAAACUUAAUAAGCCAGAAGCACCAGUUCUCCUAUUUGCUGCUAUAGCUGCCUUUGUGCAUGGUCUUAUGUUCCCAUCGUUCAGUAUAAUGAUGUCUGGUGGUAUAAGAAGUUUCUACUAUCCACCACACCAACUUCGAAAAGAUUCUCGGUUUUGGGCAUUGAUGUGCCUUCUGUUCGCAGUCAUUGCCCUGAUUUCAAUCCAACUGGAAUACUUUCUAUUUGGGAUCGCUGGUGGGAAACUUAUACAACGUGUCCGCUCUUUGUCUUUCCAGAGUAUAGUGCAUCAAGAGGUUGCUUGGUUUGAUGACCCUUCAAAUUCUAGGUUUGGCUUCUUAAACAUUUUUUUUUUCAAAUUUCCUAAAUUUUUCUACAACUGUUUGGACAUCAAUUUUACUGUUUCAUUUUAUAGUGGGGCACUUGGCGCGAGACUCCAUAUUGAUGCUUUGAACAUCCGACGCCUCGUCGGAGAUAACUUGGCCAUACUAGUGCAGUGUAUAGUAACACUAAUAGCUGGCUUUUCCAUAGCAUUUGCUUCUGACUGGAAGCUCACGCUGAUCGUCAUAUGUGUGAUUCCUGUAAUGGGCUCACAAAAUUAUAUUCAAGUGAAAUUCUUGAAAGGGUUCAGUGAAGAUGCUAAGGUGAAAAUAUUGAAUUUCAUGGCAGUUAAUCAUCUUUAUGUUUUAAAAAGCAAAGCAUACCUGAUACUUUUCAAAAUAGAUGAAUAUGUGCAAUAUUUUUAGACAGCAUACAGUUUUUCAUAUAAUAUUAAUAAUUCUAGAUAUAUUUUGAAGUUUAAAUUAACAAGAAUUAAGUAAGAUUUAAUGUCCUAUCAAAAGUUUCACCUAACAACUAAUUGGAACAGGUGAUGUAUGAAGAUGCAAGUCAAGUCGUAACUGAGGCAAUUAGUAGCAUUCGAACUGUAGCAUCUUUCUGUGCAGAGAAGAGGGUAAUUACAUCAUACAUUGAAAAAUGCCAAGCUUCAAUGAAACAGGGCAUUAGAAGUGGAAUGGUUGGAGGCCUUGGUUUCAGUUUCUCAAACUUAAUGAUGUAUCUCACAUAUGCUCUUUGUUUCUAUGUUGGUGCACUGUUCGUACAUGAAGGAAAAUCAACUUUUAAAGACGUUUUUAGGGUAAGGGAUACACAUCUGGGAUCAUUUAAAUAGCGACAUUUUGUUCAGUGACUGACUGACUUAAUCUGGUAACUGGCAGGUCUAUUUUGCUUUGAUUUUCACAGCUUUUGGAAUUUCUCAAACAAGUGCAAUGGCAACAGACUCAACAAAAGCCCAGGAAUCCACAACUUCCAUACUAGCUAUUAUAGACAGGAGGUCUAAAAUCAACUCAACUAGUGAUGAAGGCGUAAUUCUAGAAAAAGUUGAUGGAAACAUAGAUUUCAGCCAUGUAAGCUUUAAAUACCCAUCACGGCCAGACGUCCAAGUGCUCAGUGACUUCACUUUGGCCAUUCCAGCCAGAAAGGUAUUGUUUGCUUGAUGUUUGUCAUAGUUAAUUCAUAAGUUGUUUGACUGGAGGGAGUAGUUAGCUAUUCAUUGAUCAUUGAAAGAAAUAUGGGGAUGGGAACUGGGGUCAUUGAUCUUGCUAGGUUAUCAGCCGAAUCUGCCAGCCAUUCAGCAGUGUUUUUCUCUCACAAAAAAUUAGCCAACAGUACUUUCUGCCAUGGCUUAUCAGCCAAACGAUAGUACCAAGUUAGACCAUGCGAGAUACUUCACAAAAGCGUCAUGGCAAUUCUUUGAGCAGCUUAAUUUCAACAACAGUAUAAAUGUAUAAUAGGAAAAUAUCAGAUUUGGCUACAAAUACAAUAACUGUUUGCUACUUUGCUCAGAUAAUGAGUGUUCAAUUCAUCUUAAUCCUUAACAUAAGUUUCACAAAAGUCAUGUACAGGUGGUACAAAAUUCAUUUAGCACUCUGCAAAAUUUCAAGUUCAAACUCCAAUUUCACAAGGAGUACAAAGGCAGACAGUAUGAGAUGAAAGUAACAAAAACAUUUACUAUGAAUUAAGGUUUUUUUCCAUGCUCCUCUCUCUCUUUAGAAUGCUUGAUGGCCCGCAAUACCUGCUUCUUACUCUUUGAAUUUAUUUUAUUGAUGUACAUGUCAUUCAAUGGGACAAGAACAACUGGAUUGCUGGAUUCUGAUCAAUAAAAAUGAGCCUAAAAACGAAUGGAAAUUAAUUCUAGUUUUCACAUUUUUCCUCUAUGAUUUGUACUGAUGAAUUUAAAACCAAAUAUCAAAUGCAGACUGUUGCACUUGUUGGAGAGAGUGGUAGUGGUAAGUCAACAAUAAUUGCUUUGCUCGAGCGAUUCUAUGACCCAGAUUCUGGCACAGUCUCACUAGAUGGAACAGAACUUAAAAAACUAAAGCUGAGUUGGUUAAGAGACCAAAUGGGGUUAGUGAGCCAAGAACCUGUACUUUUCAACGACACAAUUCACGCCAACAUAGCAUAUGGAAAACAAGGAGAAGUAAGAGAGGACGAGAUUGUUGCUGCAGCCAAGGCAGCCAAUGCUCAUGAGUUCAUAUCUAGCUUGCCUCAGGGAUAUAGCACUAUUGUCGGCGAAAGAGGAACACAGCUCUCUGGAGGGCAAAAACAACGGGUUGCUAUUGCAAGGGCCAUCUUGAAGGACCCAAAAAUACUUCUACUCGACGAGGCAACAAGUGCCCUGGAUGCUGAAGCUGAGCGUACUGUUCAAGAUGCGUUAGACCAAGUGAUGGUCAGCAGGACCACCAUUGUUGUGGCGCACCGACUGUCCACAAUCAAAGGGGCAGAUAUGAUUGUAGUCAUCAAAGAUGGUAAAGUUGCCGAGAAGGGAAAGCAUGAAUACCUCGUGGGCAAGGGUGGAGUUUAUGCAUCGCUGGUAGAACUGCACUCGAAGUCAGCAUAAGGAUAUAUGGGGACUUACAAGGGGGUCAUUUGCAGUAGUAGGUAGUCAUACAACGGAAACAAAUCCAUGUAAAACUUAUCAAUUCGUACUUCUGGUUUGUUAUAGGUCAGUCCUAAACUCCAUACAAAGAUAGCAAUGGCAUCAAGUAUUUCAUAUGGUGUAGUGCACUGGACUAUCAAUAAAUUAAUGGUGAAAAGGAUACAAAAUGACCUAAUCACUGAACUAUUAAUAUUUAGUCGACGAGCAGAAGCAUUUCUGCUAUUCCAGAGCCCCCAAAUUCAUGCGAGGCCCCCAAAUGCACUACAGCUUUGCACGCAUAUGAGUAUAUGACGCAUUGUUUGGAAAGAAUAAGUUCGGAUCAAAUGAAGCUACCCGUCAGCGAAUUUGUUCAAACCAAAAAUUCAGGUCCAGAACUUAAACCGGCGUACCUUUCGUGCACCAAGGACCCUUUAGUCGUCAUUAUGAUCCAACCGACGCUAUCCUAGAUGGGACGGCCGUACCGGUGCCCGCUGGCGCGGCCGCCAUAACUGGCCGCUGCUGGCUUCAGGGAGCCACUCAGCCACCUCGCUUCCUUUC